AUCAUGCAUAAACAGACUCAUUCCAGGCAAAUAAUAUAAAUAAAUAAUAAAACAAAGCAUUAAAUAAUAAUUAAAGAACCUGAAUGAGUUAAACAAUAGUCUUGAACACUCCACCACAAGCCGGUAGGAUUUGUUCUUGGAUUCUUCAAUUAAACAACAAAUUAAAACGAAGGAAAUAAAAACUAGAUUCUAACGUAAGGUU
rnacentral:lncRNA from 1 species